rnacentral:rRNA from 1 species
UGAGGAAUUUUGCGCAAUGGGCGAAAGCCUGACGCAGCGACGCCGCGUGGAGGAAGAAGGCCUUCGGGUCGUAAACUCCUGUCAAGAGGAACGAAUCCCUACGGAAUGAAUAAGUCUGUAGGUUGACGGUACCUCUGAAGGAAGCCCCGGCUAACUCCGUGCCAGCAGCCGCGGUAAUACGGAGGGGGCAAGCGUUGUUCGGAAUUAUUGGGCGUAAAGGGCACGUAGGCGGUCAAGCAAGUUGGUGGUGAAAGCCCUCGGCUCAACCGGGGAAUUGCCCCCAAAACUGCUCGACUUGAGUCCCGGAGAGGGUGGCGGAAUUCCCAGUGUAGUGGUGAAAUGCGUAGAUAUCGGGAGGAACACCAGAGGCGAAGGCGGCUUCCUGGACAGACACUGACGCUGAGGCGCGAAAGCUAGGGGAGCAAACGGGAUUAGAUACCCCGGUAGUCCUAGCUGUAAACGUUGUGCACUAGGUGUGGGAGGUAUCGACCCCUCCCGUGCCGGAGCUAACGCAUUAAGUGCACCGCCUGGGGAGUACGGUCGCAAGACUGAAACUCAAAGGAAUUGACGG